UCACGAUCAGCAAUGAUCUUGGCAGGCUAAGAACGAGCCUGAGCAAGUGUCUGAGUAAAGUCCUUUCUUAUCUACAAUUCCAGCUCCACUAGACAAGGAGGAUGAAGGGAAAUUAAAGACACCUUCAGAAUAAAAGAGAACCAGAGUCCAGAGGAGCAAUUUACAAUCUGCUUCCUGAAAUCAGCUGAAAACUCCUGACGGGAGUUCAGUUCGGCCACUCCUAAAUCUGGUUAUAUAAAUUAUUCAAUGUGUCCUACUCCCUCCAUUCACCACCUUUCAGAUAAGACACGGAACCCAAAGAAUUCAAGGAGGGUGUGCCCGUGUUCACACAGUUCCUAAGCGGCAAGACGGGAAUUUGAAUAGAACCCGCCUGACAAAAGUCUGAAUUAACGCUCUUCUCCAAAAUGCCUAAAUGGAUGUGGUGUAGACAUGUGCAGAGACAGGAUGUUAGAAUAAAGCCUAGAAGAACAGAGAGAAAACAAGAAUAGAAGAAAGUGAAAGGCUGUCCUCCAUGGGUUCUGUCACUUCCCCGUGCGAUCAGCCCUCCGCCAGUCAACUCGGGAGACCCAACCAGCUCUCACUGGAAUCCUGAGAGCUCGUGGGGCCAACAGCCAUCCUGUGGCCCCCUGGGGGCUGAGGAAGGGCCACCAUCACGAAGGCAGAGCUGGAAAUGAAGAUGUGCGUGACCCUCACCUGUGUGGAACCAGGGGUAGGCUGGACUCACAGUUGGAGAGCUCUUAAAUUCACGCCCCUUUCCCUCUCCAACCAGACUGAGUGGGCAACGUCUUAGCAACUAAAAAACCAUUACAACUGCUCAGCACACAGACAAGGAAAAUGCCCGUAUGAUGGAAUCAGAAGCAGUGAAAGCUGAAUUUAGGUUUUUGGUCCAUCUGCACUCUUACAGAGGAGCAGAGGCCUAAAGCUUUCUGAGAGUCUUCCAGAAAACUGAGCAGAGGUGAGUGCAGCCUCAGCCUGUGGUGCUACAUCAUCCCAUCUCUGAAUAAAAGGAACCCUUUCCCGUGGCUCCUGUCUCCUUCUGAUACAA